CAACCUCCCUCAGGGCCGGGGCCACAGCUGGCGCCUCCCUGGCAGCACGGGGCCUGUGCCCUGCAGACAGCGGGGGUAUUUAUUGAAUGUAUUGAGCUGACUCUCUAGGGGCCAAACCCAAGAACUUAUGCGGGGAGAACAGUCAGGCAAAGACAGGAGCCCCCAUUCUGGGCAGACGGGGACCUCUUUUGAGCGACUCUUAGUAAGUGGUACAGAGAACAGAGUAUGAGGCUUCAGAGCAGAUAGAAUGGGCGUGAAAAUUGGUUCCACCACUUGUUAGCUGUGUGCUCUCUGGAGCUCAGUGUCUUCCCUUGAGAUUGCUAUAAUGCAAUAAAUGUAUAAAAAGUCCUGAGGACGUGCCACCCCUGCUCCCACCUCCCUCAUUUACUCAGCAAAUAGUUAUGAACCGCCCACGAAACGUAAGGCACUGUGCUAAACAUUGUCUGUAUCAGUGGUUUCUAUGGAAUGGUAUUUCAGGGUUCAGGCUGGGAGUACCCCAAGAGCACCAAGAUGGAGAGGUCGUCACAAACGUGUCGAGCUGAAUGAAGUGUCUGUGAUGUAUGAGGAUCCUCCCUGCACCCACACCGGAUAUCAUCCGCCAGCGCAGGGUUCAGUGUUGACCCUCAUGCUCCAGUUUAUAAAACGGCAUUACCUUCACAGGCCCCAUGUGAGUUCAUCAGAGGCCCGGCAUCUGGAGGAGCAGUCUUCCCAGCUCGGAUUUUCUAUGGACGGAAUUUUGGAAAAAAGCAUUAUUAACUCGAACAUUCGAAUGCUGGUUCCUACAUUCAUUCAUGGCUCAGAGACAACGUGGCACCAUGGGGAAAGCUUGGACUUUGGAAUCAGAUAGAUGUGGAGCAAGAUGUGGCUUCUUUACGUAACCAGUUGUGUGGGUUUGGGUCUAGUUACUGAAGCUUUCUGAGUCUUUUUCUUAGCUAUGAAAUAAAACAUUUUAAAAUGGGAAUAGCAAUAUCUACGUUACAGGGGUUGUUUUUAGGUUUUCAGACUCUAUGUAAAAUUAUAUCAUCUAGUGCUUGACGCAUAUGCGGCCCUCAGUAUAUGGUAACCAGUACUGUUACAAAUGCUGAGUUCAGUACAACUCAGAAGACUAUUCACAUGGGUUCCAGAAUGCGAGGGCUCCGUCUUCAUCUUGGAAAGAGAGAUAUACAAUGCCAGUGUUCUCAGCCCCAGUGGCUCAUUAGAAUCUCCUGGAGAACUUUUUAGAAUAACCACCGUCCCAGCCUCCCUUCCAAAGAUUCUGCUUUUAACUGACCUGGGCUUCAGCUGGUGUCCAUGUUCUUUUAGACACAGAUGCCAUGCAGUGCUCAGGCUGGGAACCGCUGCUCUGUGUCCCCAGCUGGGAUGGGAGGACAGAUGUCGGGAAGACUUGCAGACUGUUUAGUCUGGGGUCUGGCCUUUAGCCUCUCAAAUUCAAAAACUAUCUCAUCAGAAACCUCGACUUGAAUGACCUCAGAGAGACGGUUACAUGCUGAGAGAGGAACGGAGAGGCCUGAGUGUCAUCUCAUUAAUUUGUAAUGAAAAACGUACCUGAUGAAUCAACCCAGUAUGGACACUGGCCUGAAUGGCACAGUCUCCCGUUAAGCAAAGUCCAAAGGAAGCUAAAUAAUGAGCAACGACUCAGGACAGAGGACGUGGUUACAUGGUUUGGAUGUCGCUUGAAAUCUGGUCUGAGCUCAGGAAGGGCAUGUGCCGUCAGGUAGCUGGGAUGCACCGAUCCUCCUACCCGAGUCCCUGGUCACCUGUGAACAGAGUCUCCAUGGCAUGUUUAGGGUUCGCACUAGAGCAACCCUUCCUGUGAGUAUCAGCGUUUCCCUUGCAUGUCACCAUGGUCAGAUAAUUCAGAAAUGGACUCCAUAAUGUGAGUCAAAGCAGUAGAACUAGCUCACAUCUGCAUCUAACAAAAGGACUCGCCAGUGCAUAGGACAGGGAGGGUUUGAACCUUAGCUCUGGUUGGAUGAAAGCAAGUGUUAUAAACAUCCUUGUGGAUGCCCAGCAGGAAAGGAUCUCAGUCUUGACCUUCAUCCUUCUCAUUCCAAAGGAGGAUUUGAAAGCUGCCUGGAAGCUGUAGGGCCAUGAACACUUCCCUGUAAGAUCAUAAGCAUUUAAUUUUGCUUUUAGAGCUCGCCACCCAUCCCUCAGUUGUCUAGCUUGUCCAGACUGAGGUGCAGCAUGGUGGACCAGAGCUCAGCAGAGAAGUGGCUGGGCUUCUGAAGCCCGUACGCCUGAGAAGGAGGGAGGACGAUAAUAUGCUGUGACCAGUGUGUGUGAGUCACCCCUCAUGCCAAGACCCAGCACUGGGGCCAUUCGGAAGAGGGUCUCAGUCAGUGACAGGAUGGAGAGCAUUGUUGGGACAAGACCCAUAGCCGAGGCCAAAGGUCUCCCUCCAUCAGCACUCAGGUGACAGAUGAGCAGAAGACAAGGGUGAUUGAGACAUCUGGGUGGUAUCAAAUGUUACCAAGUGAGGAAUGCAAGAGUUAAAAGUUUCACUCUGGGUUCAGAUAUCUGUCUUUAAAAAUAUCAGAAGGAAUUAAUUUACUUAGGAUGUAAAGGACCAUGAAAGAAUGGAGAAUGACUGUUCAGUCAUUCUUACUAGAGAAUGAGAACUAAGUCUAGUUUACUAACUAACGACGUAGGAUAAUUCUGUUUCUCAAAACCCAACAUUUUUUAUGGCUCUUACACUAACUUUAGUCCCUUCUUAUGGAGGCUAUUUCCUUGGCCAGGAGGAGCAGAAGGACAUUUUUGGCCUAGAUUCUGUUUGGAUCCUUGUUGCAUUUAGCUGACCUAAUUUUGCCUUUUCUGUUAUCUUCUGUGGGGUCCGUGUGGUUCCCACCAGAACGGGCGUGUGUUUGUGUCAGGGAUGUGUACAUCAUAGUGGUCCCUGCUUAUCUGUGGGCUCACUUUCCACAGUGUCAGUUACUGGCAGUCGACACAGUUUGAAAAUAUUAAAUGGAAAAUUCCAGAAAUAAACAUUCCUAAGUUUUAAUUUGUGCACCAUUCUGAGUAGCCUGAUGAAAUUUUGUGCAGUCCCGCUUCAUCCUGCCUGGGACGUGAAUCCUCCCUGUGUCCAGUGUCCCCAUACUGCAGCCGCUCUCCGCCCGGUACUCACCUGGUAGCCCCCUGGGUGGUCAAAUCGACUGUUGGGUAUCGCAGUGCUUGUGUUCAAGUCCCCCUUAUUUUACUUAAUGAUGGCCCCAUGGGCAAGAGUAGAGAUGCUGGCAAUUCGGAUGUGACAAGAGAAGCCAUAAAGUGCUUCGUAUAAGUAAGGAGUUAUGUGUGCAUAGGAAAAAACAUAGUAUAUAGAGGGCUCGGUAAUAUCCACUGGAGGUGUUGGCACAUAUCCCUCUCAGAUAAGGGGAAUUACUGUACUGCAGAAGCUCUAUUUUCUGCCUUCCUCUAAGCUGACUCACCAGAGCAAGCUCGCUGGCAGGUGGCAGUGAAUGUGGGUGGCUCUGCAGUUCACCUUCACACCCUUGAGUUGAGUGGUGUUUAUACCCACAGUACCUGCCAUUGUACGUAAGUAAUUUAAUUACAUGCUGUGUAGACCAAUUAAAUAUUAUGUAAACUAAUAAUGAAUGUAAAAAGGAAGAGUUACUUCUUUGAAAACGAAGUUGAAUGAUUUGGAAAGACUCAAAACUGGCAAGGUGGCAUAAAGAUUUGCUUUAAAUUAGGUGUAGGGGAGAUGGGGAAAAUAAUACACUUAUGGAAGGAUUCUGUAGUGAAACUGCUUUUCAAGCGUUUUUAAGAUCUCAUGCUGCUUUAAAGAAAUUGAAAUUUGAAAUUGUGGAUAAUAUAGGUGUGAUUUAUGCAAAAAAAAAAAAAAAAAGAAAGAAAGAACAAGACAGCAAGGAUCCCCAAUGAGGGCACCAUAUUAAUAAAGAAAAGGCUUUGGCCCUUUGUCAACAUCUUGGCAAAUGAGUGACCAUGUAUAUGUUUUAAGUUAAGCUGGAGUGUCUAAAGUAUUUAUAGAAUUUUUGAUCAUUGGUUCGUCCAUUCGCACCUCUUUGCUGAGUGCCUACGGUGUGUCAGUCUGCUUGGUUUGGGGAAUGUAGAUAUGAUAAGACAACAAAGUCUCUGCCCUUGGAAUGGACAUAGUGAAGGAGACCGCAGUAAACAAGUGUGUAAUUAUACGUCCUGCUCAUAUGUGAACUCGGGCGGAGGGGAGCAGAUGGAGUGACGGGUGGAGAGGCAGAGGUAGGAAAGGCUAGAACAGACAAGGAAAUCACGUGGGGAGCGGGCAGCCACGUGAAGACCUGCGGGAGCAGGAUCUGGGGCAGGGGGACCGAGGCAAGUCCCCAUGCAGGGCCUGAGCUGGAGGUGCGUAAGGAGUGAGAAGGCUGGUCAGCCAGAGGAGCGAGUUGGAAGGCGAGAGCUGAGGGGUUAGGGGAGACACAGGGCCAGCUCAUCAAGGGCGUGGCGACCCUGCGAGGGGCUUUGCAUCUUACCCUCUAAGCGAGGGGUGGCCACUGGGGGGUUUUGAGAAGGACACUGGCCAGGUCUGAUUUCUGCUUCGCUGGCUGCUGUGUGGAGAAGUGACUAUAAGGGGGCAAGAGUGGAAGCAAAAAGUCACAAAUGGGACAGGCAGGGAACAGGCAGAGAUGUCCGAGGGGGACCAGCGAGAGGAGCUCCCAGAAAGCCAAGCGAGAGAAGCAUCCAGUGCCAUGGAAGGACGAAGGUACCCUGGAGGACUGGCCAGGCCCCUGGGGAGCUACCUCAGAGGGACAGGGUGGGAGAACGUGGGAGCAGGGGAAGAGAGACAGGUCUGUCCCCCUUUCAAAUAGCUGGAAUGGAAUGGGCAGGAGGGACAAAGGUGCCCUACGGCCCACCGUGACUUUUGCAGGGAUGUGGAAUUUCCUGUGGCUUAGAGAGGAGGUGGCCUUGUGUGUGAGAGAACAGGGAGAACUUGAUUUCCUUGGCUAGUGGAGGCUCCUGACUUGGGAGCUAUCCAUAUUGUCUUCUGCUCUUCCUGCUUUCUUUCCUUCCAGCAAGGAGGAAAGAGCAAGGAGAGGAUAGAAAGCUUGCGUUUUGUUUGUCUUUGCAGCAGACCUCCUGGGGGGCCCUGGCGGCUGUGGUGGGUCCUGCAGAGUGUCAGGGGAGGUGGCCCGGUGCCCGUUGGGGCGAUUCCUGCCUGUUUGGGGGCAGCUGCUGUGGGGAAUGCUGUUGGCAGGAUUCCCACGUCGGAGGAAAACUGAGCUCAAGGCUAAAAUGUCUCAGGCUUCAGGUCGACUCUUUGUGGUUGAAAGCUUUUGAAAAAUGUCUGUUUAUGGGAAUCUAUUUUACAUAUAGGUGUUAGCCAUCUAACCAGAGAAAAAACUGGUUCCUGGAAGCCUAGGGACCUGGCUGGGACCCUAGCGUGGAUGGGACAUAUCCUGGCAUCAGGUCACUUGGGGGUAUGAGAUAUUUCUGGCUGAGGAAUGGAAGGAGCAUUAUUCAGAGAUUCUACCGCAAAGGCCCAGCUUUAAGUUUCCACGAUUUCCUCCUCCACCUCUCACGAAUGACCUUUGGGAACAGACGAUGCCAAAGGGUUGAAGCCCCUAAAUCUUUGAAUUCUGUCCCAAUGCAGUGCUCCCUCCUCCUGGAUGUGCCCAAGACAGGAAGGUGAAGGAGACAAACGUAUGCUUUUCAGGACAACAAAGCCC
ensembl:lncRNA